AGUAAAAGCCAUGGACAGAGAAGUCAUUUCCAAAUUUGGAGGAAAGUUCUGGGCUCUUAUGGAGCAGAACAAGCUUACUGCUACCCCAGAGCAUUUGAGGCCCUGGACAUUGAGGAUUUCUGGAUAUUGGAUUUCUCAGCAAUGUUAAAGCCGCCUCAGUACUGGAGACUGAAUCCAGGCCUAGGGCUGUGCACAUGCUAGCCAAGUACUCUACAACGGAGCAUAUCCCCAACCCUAGUUACUUUCAUUUGUACAAGCCAGUCUCAAACUCAGGAUC